UGGACUUAGGUCCUCAGCUGAGUAAUAAAUACUCAGAGUCAACACUAUGUGAUUUAGUGCAAUUCAAUAAAAGUUUUCCCUCCAAUCAUUUUCUCUCUCUCUUCAUUGACACCGUGUUUAGCUGAUGAUUAGCAUUAAGAGUGAUUCUUGAUUCUCUUUCUUCUUCUAGUAUUGAUUGUACUCUAACCAGGGACGGAGGUACCUUAGGGAUGGGUGGGGCACUUGACCCCACCACAAUUUGACAUUUCUCACAUAUAAUAGUACUAACAUUAAAUAUAAUAUAUUUAUUUGCCCCCACGAAAAGAUAUGUGCCCCCAUAACUGUCAAAAUUUACCAUCAAUGCCACUAAAAGCUAAACUUCAUCAGAUAUUCAGAUGUAUUUUUGUUGAGAUUGUGUGUUACACACACUUUUAGAAAAUCAGAAGCUUCAAGAAGCUCUUUUGCUGUGCCCUGUGCGUUUUUUUUUUCCUGGAUCUGUGAGUUAGAGCAGAGGAUCAUUUUCAAAAAGCUAUAUAUCUAAUUUGUGGCAACACCUGUGCUGAAUUGUACAUACUGCAGGCUUCUGCUUACUGCGCCUUUCUGAGUCUAGUAAACUGGAUUGCGACUUUAUGAUAUUAGGAAGGAGUCAGGUUACGUCUAAGUUUGGGUCCUGCAGAACUGUUUCUAUAGAAUCUGUACACUUCUUAUUAAUCGUGCAAGACAGUGUUUAUUCUUAUUGAUAUGUCGCCUGAUGGGAUUUAGAUUGAGGCUGGGAGCAGGUUUUGGAGUGGUCUUCAAGCUCAGUUUGUUUCUGGUAUGGAAUGUUUCAUGAGCAAAAUUGUAGUUGCUGCUAUACUGAAGCUAGGAUGGUCUGUCAAUGGCUUGAAGGAUUGGAUUUAUAUGUGAAAAUCCUCAAUUUUAGUUUCACAGAGGAAGGUCUCAGGAUCUGAACAAAGUUUUGGUAUUGGCUUAGAACUAAGAGGGAGGGUUCAGUGUUAUGACUGGAAAUUGAAAUCAUUUUACUGCCUAAGCAUCUUGUAGGUGGCUAGUCAACAGAGAAAUUAUGGGACGGGCUUGUGGGGGUGGUAUGCUUCUGUCCUAUCGAAUUUAAAGCAUGGGGCACAGUAUGGUCAUUGGAAGACAUCCAUUGAUGGGUUAACUACACUAGUGAUUAUAGUAAUUUGGUAGUCUAAAUGCCUGAGUAUGUUUAGACUUUAGACUCAAAUGCUUGGCAGCAAAAUUGGUCCUUGUAUAAUUGGGCUGCAUUUUUGGCUCUUUAGUGAGGAUCCUAUGCAGCAGCUUAGAGGGGCUAGAAGGUUAGAAGAUUGGGUAUUCCAAUUGUUUGCUGAGUAUCUGAUGUUAGUCUCAGCUCUUAUGACUAUUUUCAUGGGUUUAAGCUCCCGAUGUGCUUAUUUUUGAAUUCACUUUUGGCUUAUAAAAAAAACUAGUUCAACACGUGAUUGAAAAGAAAGUAUAGAUAGUUUUUAUGAUUCUCUACCCCUUCCAUAUAUUGUAGGAAAAGAUCUCUGACUUAUGUAAAACAGGUGAGAACCAUAGGAAGAAUGUGGAAAAUAUUGUCUGAGAAAGUGCAGGUGAGUUUGUCACUGCUUAAGAACAUGAGUUGUUACUGUUUGUCCAUUUCAUUUCUAUGGCACCGAGUUUGCGUCCCAAGCACCCAAACCAUGGUACAUUUUGCUAUAGAUGUUGACCAACAACAUUUGUAACUAAUUAAAUGACAAAGGGUCAAUUUAUGUGGUUUGGUCCCUAAUUUCAGUGUUGUAAGCAUUCCCUCGAGAAUGCAACUGUGAUUCAUAAACUUCUUCAUUGAUUUAGAAUGAGAUAGAUAGAUGAAGAUAAUAGUAGAGAUGAAAACCACGUACCUGGUGCUUAAAAAUUUGGAUGAAAAUGUGGUGUCUGAUCUCUUAGUAUUUUUAGGUAUUAGCCUAUUGAUGCAGGUUUUCCUAUCUACCCAACACAUUCCUUUAUGAAUCUUUAUUUUCAUGAUAUCCUUUUAUUCUUUUAGUCAUCAAUCAGGAAGGUAUGAAUAAAUAUCGUUUUUCAGAGAACAAAUGUAAUAUGUCCUGCCUAAGAUGUCCCUUAGGUCUACUUGAUGCUAACUUCUUCAAGGAUAGUCAGGUAGUUUGGUUGACUUGUGAUGUUUUUCCUGUGGUGCUUGGUGGUGACUAAUUUUGUUUCUCUUAAUUAGAUUGAGCCAUUAAGGGAGUAACUAAUUUUGAUUGAGCCAUUGAGUUGAACAUUCCAAUUAUAAAAGUAGUGUUACUAUUUCAAUAUCAGUAUUUUAUCAUGACUUAUGUCACGUUACGUGUUAUUAUUUCAUGAAUGACUGUUUUCUCUGCCAUGUGUGUUUCAACCCAGGUUCUUGAGUAGGCGAACUCAUCAAAACAAAACAAAUUACUCCUCAGGAGCUUGCACAUAUAUUCUUGCAGAGAUUGAAAAAGUAGUGUUAGAAUGCUAAUGUGCUAGCAAUAGUUAAAAUAAGUAUUUUGUACAGGUGUUUUUGGGAAGGAGAAUUCCAGUAUUUGAAUCUAAUAUCUUCCUGAUUAACUAUGUCACGUGGAAUGAACACCAGGUACAAUCCUAUUCUUGAAGUCGUAAUCUCUUAUACUGAAGAAUUGGCGCUCCGCGCACUAAGCAAAAGAAGCUGAUAAGGAACUUGUCUGAAGAAUAAGAAUUUAUGGCCUCUUUAUGGGAUUCCUUAUGGAUUGAAGGACAUAAUAUCAAUGCCCGGAUACAAGAAAACCUGGGGUUCAACAUCAUUCAAAAAAUCAAGUUUUUGAGAUGGAAGCUUGGGUCUAUAAGAGUCUGCAGGGGACGUUCUUGUUGCAAAGCUUGUUUCUGGAUCUUUGGCAUAUGAUGAUGAUAUGUGGUUUGGUGGCAGUCUGGCAGAACCAGGAAUCCAUGGAAUAUUGAGGAAUUUUCAACAGGUUCAUCUGCUGGACCUGCAACAAGCACUUCAGCAGGUGCAGAGUAGUGGAGGGUAGACAGCGCCUGAUUCUGGCUGGUUAAAUUUGAACAUUAAUGGUAGCUAUAGUAGAAGAGUUUCGGCUAUAGGCAGUGGGGGACUAUUGCGAGAUCAGGCUGGAGCUUGGGUUAUUGAGUUUUCUAGCUUUAAAGGCAAAGGGAAUGGUUAUUUAGCUGAGCUAUUAGCUGUUAUUCAUGGCCUAACCUUGGCUUGUAGUGUUGGUGCAUAGAAGCUUGUUUGUGAGGUUUUCAAAAAUUAGGUUACGAGUUGGGUUGACUCGCGAGUUGGAACCCCAAUUAAUAGCUCUAACCUUAGGUUUUUUUUUCUUGAAUUUAUGAUGAUCCACAAGUAAAGCAAAGUAAAUGACAAGAUACAAAUUAGAUUACCUUGGCUGCUUUCCUUGGAAGGAGUGUCCACUUGCUCGCACAAAUAAUAAGUAAUCUUAUCAUAUGGUAAAGUUGUUGAUGAGUCUCACAUUAACUAGAGAUAUGACCAAUUAUUACUCUUAGACCAUUUGCAAUGGUUAGUUUAGAGUGAUGUUGAGAGUUGUUGAGAGUUUGUUGAGGAUGAGGUGGAGGAGUGAGAUGUUGAGAGAUGUAAAUAUU